ensembl:lncRNA
UUGCUGCCAUUGGAGCUGUAGCAGGAGGAUUAGGAGCUUUGGUCGUGGCUCCUGCUGCUCUGACUGCAGUAGGUUUCACUUCCGCUGGAAUAGCUGCAGGCUCCUGUGCUGCUAGCUUGAUGUCAUCUGCUGCAGCUGCCGGUGGAGGAGGAGUGGCAGCAGGAAGUGUGGUGGCUGUUUUGCAGUCAGUAGGUGCAGCUGGUGUGUCAGCGGCUACCGCUGUAGCUUCAUCUGCUGUUGGAGCAGCAGCAGGGGCGGUGCUCUCAGCCGUGGCUAACUCAACUGGAACCACCUAAAGAUCUACAGCGUGGAUAUAUAUUAUUAAACUUUGGGUGAGUGAUUCUAUAGAAAGAUGGUUUAUGGUUGAGUCUCAUUCCCAGGUCGACAAGCUUUGGGUUGGUGGCUCAGUCAGAGACACUAUUGUUUAUUGUUGAGUCUCAUUCAUACAUUGUCAAAUAUGGACAACUUAGGAAUGAGACUCAGCAAUCAAACUUUUUUAGGGAAUUGCUCACCCUUUCUUUAGAGGCUACUGCAAUUUAUAUCAAGCAAUGUUGUCAUCCAAACAGCUGACAUUUUUGUGCAAUAAAUCUGUAAAACCUCCCACUUCAAUGUGUCGUCUGUAAAUAUUUUCAUUCCACAUAAAUUCAUGGAAGCUUAUUUGUGAAUUUAUUUGCAAGUUAAACAUAUUAUAUAGUUAUAUUAUAUAGUCUGGUUGGCACCACGGGCAAACAAAAAUGGAAGUUCCCCCUCCGUGAAACAGCGAGCGGAGCUGUUCAACACGAAUGACUGUGUACUCUGACUGUGUAGCAGCGAAAUCCGGGGAAGAAUGUCUGCAUCCUGAGCACCUGCACACAGCUGUGGACACCCUUAGUGGGGCGAAGGCAAGACCAGUCUGUGAUGUACUAUAACAACACGAAGUACGGUGAGGACGUCCCGGACCAGAUGGCGAGGGCGUACUGCGUCAAAGGCAGUAUAGAAGAUGGCCAGUGGUGGUCUCCUAUAACAUCCUCGACCUGGCUGGGAUCAAUGCCCGCAUCUUAUUCAAGGAGCACCAGCAGCAGGAGAGCCCGGAGGCACAAGGUGGUCAGCAGCGAAGCAACCACCGCAGCAGCAGCAGACACGGAGGCAGUGCCGGUCCGAAAGAGCUGCAAACGGAACCAAACGUCGGACACUUGGAAUGCCACAAGCCCAUGUGUUGUAAUUCUGCGAAGAGAGCAGAGGUAA